rnacentral:rRNA from 1 species
UACGUAGGGGGCGAGCGUUGUCCGGAUUUAUUGGGCGUAAAGAGCGUGUAGGCGGUUCGGUAAGUCUGUCGUGAAAUCCUGAGGCUCAACCUCGGGCGUGCGAUGGAUACUGCCGGGCUAGAGGGUGGUAGAGGCGAGUGGAAUUCCCGGUGUAGCGGUGAAAUGCGCAGAUAUCAGGAGGAACACCGGUGGCGAAGGCGGGUCUCUGGGCCGUAACUGACGCUGGAGGAGCGAAAGGCGUGGGGAGCGAACAGG